rnacentral:misc_RNA from 1 species
GAUGAAGAACGUAGCGAAAUGCGAUAAGUAAUGUGAAUUGCAGAAUUCAGUGAAUCAUCGAAUCUUUGAACGCACAUUGCGCCCGCCAGUAUUCUGGCGGGCAUGCCUGUUCGAGCGUCAUUUCAACCAUCAAGCCCCCGGGCUUGUGUUGGGGACCUGCGGCUGCCGCAGGCCCUGAAAAGCAGUGGCGGGCUCGCUGUCACACCGAGCGUAGUAGCAUACAUCUCGCUCUGGGCGUGCUGCGGGUUCCGGCCGUUAAACCACCUUUUAACCCAAGGUUGACCUCGGAUCAGGUAGGAAGACCCGAUGAACUUAAGCAUAUCAAUAAGCGGAGGA